rnacentral:rRNA from 1 species
UACGAAGGGGGCUAGCGUUGCUCGGAUUGACUGGGCGUAAAGGGCGCGUAGGCGGUUCGUACAGUCAGACGUGAAAUUCCUGGGCUCAACCUGGGGGCUGCGUUUGAUACGUGCGGACUUGAGUGCGGAAGAGGGUCGUGGAAUUCCCGGUGUAGUGGUGAAAUGCGUAGAGAUCCGGAGGAACCCCAGAGGCGAAGGCGGCCCCCUGGCUCGUACCUGACGCUCAGCCACGAAAGCAUGGGGAGCGAACGGG